AUCGCUUCUCGGCCUUUUGGCUAAGAUCAAGUGUAGUAUCUGUUCUUAUCAGUUUAAUUAGGGUAUGAUUAUUUGUCGAGACAUGCUACAGAGAACAUCCACAUACACAAAAACACCUU
rnacentral:snRNA from 1 species